GCGACACUUAGCGUCAAGUUGGUAGAGCGCAACCUUGCCAAGGUUGAGGUUCACGAGUUCGACCUCGUGUGUCGCUCCA
rnacentral:tRNA from 1 species